CACCAGCGCCUCGAGUGGGGAUCGCGAUUAUUGGGCCUAAAGCGUCCGUAGCAGGCUUUGUAGAUCCUUUGUGAAAUGGGCAGGCCUAACCUGUCCGCGUGCAGAGGAGACCGCAGAGCUUGAGACCGGGAGAGGUCAGAAGUAUUCUUAGGGUACCGGUAAAAUGGGUUAAUCCUGAGAGGACUACCAAUGGCGAAGGCAUCUGACCAGAACGGUUCUGACUGUGAGGGACGAAAGCUAGGGGAGCAAAACGG
rnacentral:rRNA from 2 species